rnacentral:rRNA from 1 species
GCAGUCGAACGGUAACAUUGUCUAGCUUGCUAUAAGAUGACGAGUGGCGGACGGGUGAGUAAUGCUUGGGAACUUGCCUUUGCGAGGGGGAUAACAGUUGGAAACGACUGCUAAUACCGCAUAAUGUCUUCGGACCAAACGGGGCUUCGGCUCCGGCGCAAAGAGAGGCCCAAGUGAGAUUAGCUAGUUGGUAAGGUAACGGCUUACCAAGGCGACGAUCUCUAGCUGUUCUGAGAGGAAGAUCAGCCACACUGGGACUGAGACACGGCCCAGACUCCUACGGGAGGCAGCAGUGGGGAAUAUUGCACAAUGGGGGAAACCCUGAUGCAGCCAUGCCGCGUGUGUGAAGAAGGCCUUCGGGUUGUAAAGCACUUUCAGUUGUGAGGAAAAGUUAGUAGUUAAUACCUGCUAGCCGUGACGUUAACAACAGAAGAAGCACCGGCUAACUCCGUGCCAGCAGCCGCGGUAAUACGGAGGGUGCGAGCGUUAAUCGGAAUUACUGGGCGUAAAGCGCACGCAGGCGGUUUGUUAAGCUAGAUGUGAAAGCCCCGGGCUCAACCUGGGAUGGUCAUUUAGAACUGGCAGACUAGAGUCUUGGAGAGGGGAGUGGAAUUCCAGGUGUAGCGGUGAAAUGCGUAGAUAUCUGGAGGAACAUCAGUGGCGAAGGCGACUCCCUGGCCAAAGACUGACGCUCAUGUGCGAAAGUGUGGGUAGCGAACAGGAUUAGAUACCCUGGUAGUCCACACCGUAAACGCUGUCUACUAGCUGUGUGUGUCUUUAAGACGUGCGUAGCGAAGCUAACGCGCUAAGUAGACCGCCUGGGGAGUACGGCCGCAAGGUUAAAACUCAAAUGAAUUGACGGGGGCCCGCACAAGCGGUGGAGCAUGUGGUUUAAUUCGAUGCAACGCGAAGAAACCUUACCUACACUUGACAUGCUGAGAAACUUUCUAGAGAUAGAUUUGGUGCCCUUCGGGAACUCUGACACAGGUGCUGCAGGGCUGUCGUCAGUUCGUGUCCUGAAAUGUUGGGGUUAAGUCCCGCAACGAAGCGCAACCCUUGGUCCUUAAUUUG